UCCCCAGGUGCCACCACGUGUCCCCCCGGCAGCGUGUCCUGUGCCACCACCCCCGGGUGUCCCCCUGUCAUUGUGUCCCCAUGUGCCACCACGUGUCCCCUGGGCAGCGUGUCCUGUGCCACCACCCCCUGGUGUCCCCAUGGCCGCGUGUCCCCAUGUGCCACCACGUGUCCCCUGGGCAGCGUGUCCUGUGCCACCACCCCCGGGUGUCCCCAUGGCCGCGUGUCCCCAGGUGCCACCACGUGUCCCCUGGGCAGCGUGUCCUGUGCCACCACCCCCGGGUGUCCCCGCGGCCGCGUGUCCCCAAGUGCCACCAGGUGUGCCCCCGGCAGC